AUUGAACGCUGGCGGCAGGCUUAACACAUGCAAGUCGAGCGGGGGAAGGUAGCCUGCUACCGGACCUAGCGGCGGACGGGUGAGUAAUGCUUAGGAAUCUGCCUAUUAGUGGGGGACAACAUCUCGAAAGGGAUGCUAAUACCGCAUACGUCCUACGGGAGAAAGCAGGGGAUCUUCGGACCUUGCGCUAAUAGAUGAGCCUAAGUCGGAUUAGCUAGUUGGUGGGGUAAAGGCCUACCAAGGCGACGAUCUGUAGCGGGUCUGAGAGGAUGAUCCGCCACACUGGGACUGAGACACGGCCCAGACUCCUACGGGGGGCAGCAGUGGGGAAUAUUGGACAAUGGGGGGAACCCUGAUCCAGCCAUGCCGCGUGUGUGAAGAAGGCCUUAUGGUUGUAAAGCACUUUAAGCGAGGAGGAGGCUACUUUAGUUAAUACCUAGAGAUAGUGGACGUUACUCGCAGAAUAAGCACCGGCUAACUCUGUGCCAGCAGCCGCGGUAA
rnacentral:rRNA from 1 species